AUUGAACGCUGGCGGCAUGCUUUACACAUGCAAGUCGAACGGGGUGGGGGGCAACUCCCAUUCAGUGGCGAACGGGUGAGUAAUGCAUCGGAACGUAUCCCGUAGUGGGGGACAACGCCGCGAAAGCGGCGCUAAUACCGCAUAUGCUCUACGGAGGAAAGUGGGGGACCGCAAGGCCUCACGCUAUGGGAGCGGCCGAUGUCCGAUUAGCUAGUUGGUGGGGUAAUGGCCCACCAAGGCGACGAUCGGUAGCUGGUCUGAGAGGAUGAUCAGCCACACUGGGACUGAGACACGGCCCAGACUCCUACGGGAGGCAGCAGUGGGGAAUUUUGGACAAUGGGGGCAACCCUGAUCCAGCCAUGCCGCGUGCGGGAAGAAGGCCUUCGGGUUGUAAACCGCUUUUAGCCGGGAAGAAAAGGCGUCGCCUAAUACGCGGCGUUCUUGACGGUACCGGCGGAAUAAGCACCGGCUAACUACGUGCCAGCCGCCGCAGUAAAAC
rnacentral:rRNA from 1 species